rnacentral:rRNA from 1 species
AUACGUAGGGGGCAAGCGUUAUCCGGAUUUAUUGGGUUUAAAGGGAGCGUAGGCGGGAGCUUAAGUCAGCGGUUAAAUGGUGCGGCUCAACCGUGCCCUGCCGUUGAAACUGGGUUUCUUGAGAGUGCAAGAGGCGGAUGGAAUUCAUGGUGUAGCGGUGAAAUGCUUAGAUAUCAUGAAGAACUCCGAUUGCGAAGGCAGUCCGCUGGGGCACGUCUGACGCUGAUGCUCGAAGGUGCGGGAAUCAAACAGGAUUAGAUACCCUGGUAGUCCGCACGGUAAACGAUGAUUACCCGCUGCCGGCGGUAGACAGUCGGCGGCCAAGCGAAAGCGAUAAGUAAUCCACCUGGGGAGUACGCCGGCAACGGUGAAACUCAAAUGAAUUGACGGGG